AGACAUAUCGGAUUUUCAUUUCCUUUCCGCAGUUUCUCGACCGCUCCACAACCGAAACUGAGAGGCUGCAGUCGAGACAUCUUUUUCACCGAUCGGACCCAAAGGAUUGCUUUCAUACCGCUUGCCAUUUUGUAUGUUUAUUUUUUUUCAAUAAAGUUGGGAGGAUUAUACAUUUUUUCCCCUUUUUCCAUUUUUGUGUUAUCAUAUUUCGCAACUAUUGGAUGUGACUUUGUUUUCAAACCAAAAACAGGAGAAGAAAGGGAACGAACUGCGGGGGGUAGAAAAAAGAGAGAGAUAGUCGGGCAUGGAGCGAUAGACAGGCAGUUGCAGGUGGGUGGAUUUGAAGGUUGCAGUUGCAUUUUAAACCCUCAUUCGAAUGUUGGUUCAUUCACAGCUUGUCUUACAAAAGCAAUGGUUUACAGGGACAGGUCUCCAUUAUAAAUUAUUCUUAUAGCACUAGGGAUAUUUUUAGUGUACUGUUGGUGGCUGGCCAGUGUGGACAGGGCUUGGGCAGGGCUUGGGGAUGAGGUUUAAUGAAUGACGCUGGUGUGUUAAUCAGGGAGUUUUAUCUACCUGCUGAGCGGUCUUUACCAGGCCCAGAUUUAGGCUAAUUUUCUUACUGACACAGGAGCCUGAGAGACUUUUCUCUCCUUCGCUCCUUUACUUUUCUCCUUCUUUCACGGCCAGAGCGAGGGAGAGCGAGGGAGAGCGAGGGAGAGCGAGGGAUCAGUCACAUUCGUUCGCUCCUCCCUCUGUUUCCAGGGCAUUUUAAUCAGUGAGUGGUCAGAGAGAGAGAGAGAGAGAGAGAGGAAAGCAGUGAAACUUUUGUGUGGAGGUGUUCACUAGUUUUCAGGGGCAGGCGAUGGGCUCUGGCUGUCUGCUUUAAGACAAAGACACUCAGAUCUAUAGUUUAUAUUGGAUUUUCUCUUUUCACAGGUUGUCAGGCGGCUCCUUUAACUGAUGGCUCUGUGGUAGGCCUUCCCUGGCAGUCAGUGUUCAAUUGUCACAUCAAUUAUGGAAUUAUGGGUGCUGGAUCUUAACAUUGUGUUUGUUCUAUUAUUGACUGUUAAUGAUAAACUGUGUGAUUGCUAUUGCUGUAAUACUUUUGUAAAGACAUUCCCUUUUUCUCUUUAGGUCCCUGUCCGGCUGGAUGAGAUGAG
rnacentral:lncRNA from 13 species